CCUGAGAUUGGACAUUAUUUAAAAGCAAUUUGGAGAGUUUUCUCCAUUUCAGGCAAGAAAACAUGCACUAUUUUUCUGAUAUGGCAUGGGACAUCGAAAAAUAGUUUUGAACAAAAUUUUGAAAUUUUUGGCCCAAAGAAAGCAAAUACCCCCUGCAACAAACAAGAUGUGUCACAAUAAGUCAUGAUUUACAAUCCCUUUCAAGACUGCCUGUUGCCCUUAGCAAUCCCUAAAGCAAAAACAAACAAAACAAAUCUUUUCAGCAUAUCUUCAUGAAACUGUCUGGGAUGUGACAAAACUUUGAGAAACAGUUUUGUGAUAAUGGUUUUGCACUUUAUUGGUACUUCUCCACAGGAGGUGGUGAAUGGCUACUUUCAAAUACAUAGAGCUAUCAAAGGCUAAAGUCAAUAAAAAACCUCCAUAGAAUAAUUGGAGAGGAAAGAAAAGGGGGAAAAAAAGAACAUAAAACGAAUGAAAAGGCAAGUAGGACCUAUAAAUAUAAAAGCCUAAGGAGUAUAUUUUGGGAGAACAGAUGAUGCAAAGCAAAAUUGGGAAUAGUUAUUGGAGGAUCAAGGAAGGCAAAUAAAACAAUAAGAUAUAUGAUGCCUGUC
rnacentral:lncRNA from 1 species